rnacentral:piRNA from 1 species
UGCCUGUCACGCUGGUGAUCUGAA